GCUCAGUUGGUACAGCAUGAGACUCCUGAUCUCCAGGUCGUGAGUUCAAGUCCCACACUGAGUG
rnacentral:tRNA from 1 species